AGCGGCGGACGGGUGAGUAAUGCGUAGGAAUCUGGCCGGUAGUGGGGGAUACCUGGGGAAACCCAGGCUAAUACCGCAUACGUCCUACGGGAGAAAGGGGGCUCCGGCUCCCGCUAUUGGAUGAGCCUAUGUCGGAGUAGCUAGUUGGUGAGGUAAUGGCUCACCAAGGCAACGAUCCGUAGCUGGUCUGAGAGGAUGAUCAGCCACAUCGGGACUGAGACACGGCCCGAACUCCUACGGGAGGCAGCAGUGGGGAAUAUUGGACAAUGGGGGCAACCCUGAUCCAGCCAUGCCGCGUGUGUGAAGAAGGCCCUCGGGUUGUAAAGCACUUUCAGCGAGGAAGAACGCCUAGCGGUUAAUACCCGCUAGGAAAGACAUCACUCGCAGAAGAAGCACCGGCUAACUCCGUGCCAGCAGCCGCGGUAAUACGGAGGGUGCAAGCGUUAAUCGGAAUUACUGGGCGUAAAGCGCGCGUAGGUGGCUUGAUAAGCCGGUUGUGAAAGCCCCGGGCUCAACCUGGGAACGGCAUCCGGAACUGUCAGGCUAGAGUGCAGGAGAGGAAGGUAGAAUUCCCGGUGUAGCGGUGAAAUGCGUAGAGAUCGGGAGGAAUACCAGUGACGAAAGGGGCCUUCUGGACUGACACUGACACUGAGGUGCGAAAGCGUGGGUAGCAAACAGGAAUAGAUACCCUGGUAGUCCACGCCGA
rnacentral:rRNA from 1 species